UCAAAACUUUUCAGCUAGAGUAUGAUAGAGGAAAGCAGAAUUUCUAGUGUAGAGGUGAAAUUCGUAGAUAUUAGAAAGAAUACCAAUUGCGAAGGCAGCUUUCUGGAUCAUUACUGACACUGAGGAACGAAAGCAUGGGUAGCGAAGAGGAUUAGAUACCCUCGUAGUCCAUGCCGUAAACGAUGUGUGUUAGACGUUGGAAAUUUAUUUUCAGUGUCGCAGCGAAAGCGAUAAACACACCGCCUGGGGAGUACGACCGCAAGGUUAAAACUCAAAUGAAUUGACGGGGACCCGCACAAGUAGUGGAGCAUGUGGUUUAAUUCGAAGAUACGCGCAGAACCUUACCAACACUUGACAUGUUCGUCGCGACUCUAAGAGAUUAGAGUUUUCGGUUCGGCCGGACGAAACACAGGUGCUGCAUGGCUGUCGUCAGCUCGUGUCGUGAGAUGUUGGGUUAAGUCCCGCAACGAGCGCAACCCUCACUUUUAGUUGCCAUCAUUUAGUUGGGCACUCUGAAAGAACUGCCAGUGAUAAGCUGGAGGAAGGUGGGGAUGACGUCAAGUCCUCAUGGCCCUUACGUGUUGGGCUACACACGUGCUACAAUGGUAUCUACAACAGGAAGCAAGACUGCGAAGUUAAGCAAAUCCCUAAAAGAUACCUCAGUUCGGAUUGCACUCUGCAACUCGAGUGCAUGAAGCUGGAAUUACUAGUAAUCGUGGAUCAGCGUGCCACGGUGAAUGCGUUCCCGGGUCUUGUACACACCGCCCGUCACACCAUGGGAGUUGGUUCUACCUUAAGGCAAGGUUUCAAACCCUUGACCACGGUAUAGUCAGCGACUGGGGUGAAGUCGUAACAAGGUAACCGUA
rnacentral:rRNA from 1 species